UGAGUCCUACGGGGCGCAGCAGUGAGGAAUAUUGGUCAAUGGUCGGGAGACUGAACCAGCCAAGCCGCGUGAGGGAUGAAGGUACAGAGUAUCGUAAACCUCUUUUGUCAGGGAACAAAGGCGGGGACGCGUCCCCGGAUGAGUGUACCUGAAGAAAAAGCAUCGGCUAACUCCGUGCCAGCAGCCGCGGUAAUACGGAGGAUGCGAGCGUUAACCGGAUUUAUUGGGUUUAAAGGGUGCGCAGGCGGUCGGUUAAGUCAGCGGUCAAAGACCGGGG
rnacentral:rRNA from 1 species